AUGGAUCCACUUAAAGUGUUCUACUUGGAUCAUCUUCGAUCCCUAUGCGCUCGUGAUGAAAUCCCAACUAGCCUAGUUGAUGGGAAAUCUUUAGAUGAGCAUGCUCAUUUUGUGCGUCACCGUUUGACUGAAAAAGGGAGACUCUUAUGGAAUCAAAUAAACAAAUUGCUGUGUUAUGCUUGGAAUCUUUGUGAAAUUUAUGAUAUUACCUGUUGCUCUAAGAACCCUAAAAAACACCUUCCCUACCUAUGUGAGUUUAAUGAAAAUGAAACCUUGUCUUCUUAUGCAAAGGGUGUUUAA
rnacentral:rRNA from 1 species